rnacentral:rRNA from 1 species
CGAGUGCUUGCACUCAAUUGGAAAGAGGAGUGGCGGACGGGUGAGUAACACGUGGGUAACCUACCCAUCAGAGGGGGAUAACACUUGGAAACAGGUGCUAAUACCGCAUAACAGUUUAUGCCGCAUGGCAUAAGAGUGAAAGGCGCUUUCGGGUGUCGCUGAUGGAUGGACCCGCGGUGCAUUAGCUAGUUGGUGAGGUAACGGCUCACCAAGGCCACGAUGCAUAGCCGACCUGAGAGGGUGAUCGGCCACACUGGGACUGAGACACGGCCCAGACUCCUACGGGAGGCAGCAGUAGGGAAUCUUCGGCAAUGGACGAAAGUCUGACCGAGCAACGCCGCGUGAGUGAAGAAGGUUUUCGGAUCGUAAAACUCUGUUGUUAGAGAAGAACAAGGACGUUAGUAACUGAACGUCCCCUGACGGUAUCUAACCAGAAAGCCACGGCUAACUACGUGCCAGCAGCCGCGGUAAUACGUAGGUGGCAAGCGUUGUCCGGAUUUAUUGGGCGUAAAGCGAGCGCAGGCGGUUUCUUAAGUCUGAUGUGAAAGCCCCCGGCUCAACCGGGGAGGGUCAUUGGAAACUGGGAGACUUGAGUGC